GGGGAAAAAUAAUAGAAAAUCUGUGAUAUUUAACAGCUAGGACGAGCCGGUGCUACACAAACAUAGAAAAACUUCGAUAGCGAGUCCAUGUUAAAAAUAGAAGAAAGGGCUUCCUGUGUUCUUCCUGUGUUUUUACUGUAGGCUAUGUAGGACUUUAACACCCAACGGGAAGAGAAAAGUAAAUCAGCAAGAAGGAAAACUGAGAAGGAAACGAGGAGAGAUCAACAUGGAAAUGAAAACACGCAGCCGAAGGUGUUUUACAGGACACUACCCCCUUCGUUUAUGGCUACGUAAGAUUUAUGACUUCUACCACACAGGACUAGCUGUAAACAGCCACUUUAAAAAGAUGCAUUUCGCGUGGGAACUUGAAUAGAGAGGAUCACCAACGGUGUAGGAAGAAGGAUGACAAGAGAUGCGUCGCCUUCCUGAUACUUUGGAGUUGGCUGAGUCAUGGAUAUACUAUUUCAACGGUGGAAUAUGUGGACAGAUGUUGGGAUGCAAGGUUUUCAUUUUUCCUGCAGUGAACAUUGCAACCAACAUAUUACAUAAAGAGACUACAAACUCAGUGAUACAUUUCGUUGGGAUUUCUUGUUUUGUUCAUGAGGAGGAUAGUUUUAUAGGUGGAAAGUGUUUUGAAUGUGGUGUAUUGUCUUUUCAAGGGUAAAUGCUUGUGAUUGUGUGGUGAAUACGCCAUCGAGUGUGAAUAUAUUUCAUUUAAAAUGUACGUUGUCUACUGUAUUCAUAUGACAGACCCCUUACACUGAAAGACAUAGCCUAUCUAUGUAUAUAUAUUGAAAGUGUUCGUUUUCCAUUUGGACAAAAGGACAUUGCCACCUCUUUGCCUAUGUGAGUUAUCCUAUGAUUCUUCUGUCACACAUGUUGUAAGAAUAAUGCUGCUGCAUGGCUAAUCUACAUAACGCUACACCCAUACACUCAUCAUCCAUAAUAUCCCCCCCCCCCCACACACACACACACACAGAUAUUACACUACAGCAUUCAUUGCAUCAUCGAAAGAAGAGAGCACAAGCACACACAAGGACACACACACACACACACACAGGCACCACCAUUUUGACAAUGAUUUUGAUUAAUCUGUGGUGCUUUAUGCAUAUAAGCAAAUAGAUGUUUAUUAUUAUUAUUAUUAUUUUAUUUAAAAGCUCAAUUGAAAAGCGUAUAUUCCAAUGCCUCAAAAAUAUAUCACAGGCCAUUCUCACGGGCUGCAUGUGUGCCAUAUUAGAGAACAUUAUGAUACACACUCUUGGCCUAGGAAAUGUUUACCGAUUGUGUGAAUGUCAUAUGCAGACUCAAUCAUCACUGUUGAAUGUAUGCAAUGAAUGCAUACUUCAUUCCAAUAAAACAGAUUUAUUUU